GGAUAGGUGGCAGAGUUGGUAAUUGCGCUGGCUUUGAAUACCAGUGGUCUAGUAGUAGGCUUGUGAGUUCAAAUCUCACCCUAUCCG
rnacentral:tRNA from 1 species